rnacentral:rRNA from 1 species
CCUAUGGGGGGCAGCAGUGGGGAAUAUUGGACAAUGGGGGGAACCCUGAUCCAGCCAUGCCGCGUGUGUGAAGAAGGCCCUCGGGUUGUAAAGCACUUUCAGUGAGGAAGAACGCCUGGUGGUUAAUACCCAUCAGGAAAGACAUCACUCACAGAAGAAGCACCGGCUAACUCCGUGCCAGCAGCCGCGGUAAUACGGAGGGUGCGAGCGUUAAUCGGAAUUACUGGGCGUAAAGCGCGCGUAGGUGGCUUGAUAAGCCGGUUGUGAAAGCCCCGGGCUCAACCUGGGAACGGCAUCCGGAACUGUCAAGCUAGAGUGCAGGAGAGGAAGGUAGAAUUCCCGGUGUAGCGGUGAAAUGCGUAGAGAUCGGGAGGAAUACCAGUGGCGAAGGCGGCCUUCUGGACUGACACUGACACUGAGGUGCGAAAGCGUGGGUAGCAAACAGGAUUAGAUACCCUUGUAGUC